UACGGGAGGCAGCAGGUGGGAAUAUUGCACAAUGGGCGCAAGCCUGAUGCAGCCAUGCCGCGUGUAUGAAGAAGGUCCUUCGGGUUGUAAAGUACUUUCAGCAGUGAGGAAGGUGGGUAUGUUAAUAGCAUACUCAUUUGACGUUAGCUGCAGAAGAAGCACCGGCUAACUCCGUGCCAGCAGCCGCGGUAAUACGGAGGGUGCGAGCGUUAAUCGGAAUUACUGGGCGUAAAGCGCAUGCAGGUGGUUUGUUAAGUCAGAUGUGAAAGCCCGGGGCUCAACCUCGGAAUUGCAUUUGAAACUGGCAAACUAGAGUACUGUAGAGGGGGUAGAAUUUCAGGUGUAGCGGUGAAAUGCGUAGAGAUCUGAAGGAAUACCGGUGGCGAAGGCGGCCCCCUGGACAGAUACUGACACUCAGAUGCGAAAGCGUGGGGAGCAAACAGGAUUAGAUACCCUGGUAG
rnacentral:rRNA from 1 species